GGGUUCGUUUAUGGACUAGGGCGCAAAAUGGAAGUAGUUCUCCACGUAAAGCAUAGUAAAGACACUUGCAAUAAUCAAGCGCGUUUUAUUUCAGUACCUUUAAGAACUGACGAAAGAGAGAACAUGGACUUCUCCCUAAGCAUCCAAUUGGUUCGGCCCAAGCUAAGAUGGCGGUCCCUAGGUUUCCCGCACUUCACCAGCCGGGGAGCCCAGUCAGUUUGCAAGCCGGCCCGCCUUUCUUGAGAGGAAGCAUGCGCGACCUGCCGGAGCUGUAGAGCGAAGCAUUUUGGGAGUUGAAGUCUCUUGCUCCGACCCCUCGUCCGUCUAGGAUUAAGGUUUCAGCAGCACAUUUUUGUCCGCUCAAACUUCGAGUCUGAAACAAGCGAACGGAAGUUGGGCCCCGGGAGUGGAGUCGAGGAGGUGACGAUACUAGUUUUCUAGAGACUGACACCCAAUUCCUGCUCCAUACAGGAGUCCUAUCAAUAGCUGUGCAUCCGGAAUCGUCUUUUCUCCCGUCGGGGCCCCGCCCCCCACGCCGCCCUCCACCCCGGUUCUCGCCCGGGCAGCCACCCAAAUCCGCCGCCGGGCACCUUUACCCCGCACAGCCGAUUGGCGUCAUCUGCGUUGAAGACCGCCCAAGGCUCUCCUUUGUUCACCACGGACAGCCAACCUCCCCUCUGGACAUCCAAGUUCCUACGUCACUUGGACAACCCAUCGAGCUCCUCUACCUGUUUCUGCCCUGCCCCCUCAGAUUCCCGAUGCGCCCACGCACUGCAAGUUAUUCCUGGAAUGUGUCCGCGUGGCCUCCCUCCCUUCGCACUGGCGGUUCCUUCUCUUACUGUUACCUCCUGGACUGGCUGCCUUACAGAGGAGUAAUCCAGGAGUCCUUUUCUCUGAGGAUCUUCCCUCCCUUGAGUUCCCGCAGACCUAGGCAUCAUCCUUCAGCAGCCUAGCUGGUCCAACCCUGCCUCCUCCAUCAGAGUGUCCUAGCGGACAGGGCUGGGUCCAGUGGUCACCCUGUCGCCCGGAGGCCCUGCUAAAAGUUGGCGUGUGUUGUAAAAAAGAUCCCAGACUUGGAAAUGAAACAAAAGGAGGACUGCACGGCCUUUGAGCGACAUGCUGGAGCAUUGUCCAACAGGCCCACUCAAGAUGAGAAAACUUCGGAGAAGAGCUGGGAAUGAAGUCACCCAAUGUCACUGAACUCUUCUAAGGCUGAUGUCAAGCAUUUGUCAUCAAACAGACCUGAGUUUCAACUCUGGCUUGCAGUCUCCCUGGCUGUGUGACCUCAG